GGGCGCUUAGCACAGUGGUAGCGCGCACGCUUUGCAAUUUCGGCUGCGUGAGGUCGUGGGUUCAAGCCCCACAGUGUCCA